AGUAGCUUGCUAUUUAACAAGAGAGUAGCGCACUGGUGAGUAACACGUGGGAACGUACCUUUUGGUGGGGGACAACAUCUGGAAACGGAUGCUAAUACCGCAUAAGACCUGAGGGUGAAAGAUUUAUCGCCGAAAGAACGGCCCGCGGAAGAUUAGGCAGUUGGUGGGGUAAAGGCCUACCAAACCUACGAUCUAUAGCUGGUCUGAGAGGACGAUCAGCCACACUGGAACUGAGACACGGUCCAGACUCC
rnacentral:rRNA from 1 species